AACAAACGCUGGCGGCGUGCCUAAUACAUGCAAGUCGAACGGGGAACGCUUUCGGGUGAGUACUAGUGGCGCACGGGUGAGUAACGCGUGGAUAAUCUGCCUUAGAGUGGGGGAUAACUAGUCGAAAGAUUAGCUAAUACCGCAUAAGACCACAAGAACUGCGGUUCAAGGGGUCAAAGGUUUUUCGCUCUAAGAUGAGUCCGCGUAAGAUUAGCUAGUUGGUGAGGUAAUGGCUCACCAAGGCGACAAUCUUUAACUGGUCUGAGAGGAUGAUCAGUCACACUGGAACUGAGACACGGUCCAGACUCCUACGGGAGGCAGCAGUAGGGAAUAUUGCACAAUGGAGGAAACUCUGAUGCAGCGACGCCGCGUGAGUGAUGAAGGCCUUCGGGUCGUAAAGCUCUGUCGCAAGGGAAUAACACAAUGAAUGUACCUUGCAAGAAAGGAUCGGCUAACUUCGUGCCAGCCGCCGCAGUAAAAC
rnacentral:rRNA from 1 species